UCAGAUGGAGAAGAAUAUUUAAACUCUUAUUUAUAGGAAAUCGAAACCAUAGCCGACAGAGGAACGACCAGAGAAGAAGAAGGGCGGCCGAGGAAAGAACCAAUAGAGCCACCUUCGAUGCCAAAACAAAUAUUUUUUUUCCUUCCCGCUCAGAAUUCAAUCACGAAUCUCACUAUGCCCAUAUCGAAGCUAAAGGAUUGACGAGUGAGCCGAAAACCAUGGGUGAAGCUCGGUCGAGCUGCUGCAACCAAAACCCAGAAUCCUCUUCGAUGACCCCCUUAUUGUUUUUCGUUUUGCGUGAUUUUUUUACAAUUGUAUUCUUCGUCCUUCUCUUGUGCAAGUUAGUCGAAGGAGAACCUGGGCCACGAAGGAGGAACGAUGGAGCCGCCGUACCUGGAGACCUUCUGCUAGUAG
rnacentral:lncRNA from 1 species